AUUGAACGCUGGCGGCAUGCUUUACACAUGCAAGUCGGACGAGUGGCGGACGGGUGAGUAACGUAUGGGAACGUGCCUGAUGAUGGGGGAUAACUGUCGGAAAGGGCAGCUAAUACCGCAUAUUAUUCGAGCUGCCGAUGUGGGAUUAGCUGGUUGGCGGGGUAAAGGCCCACCAAGGCGACGAUCCGUAGCUGGUCUGAGAGGAUGACCCGCCACACUGGGACUGAGACACGGCCCAGACUCCUACGGGAGGCAGCAGUGGGGAAUAUUGGACAAUGGGCGCAAGCCUGAUCCAGCCAUGCCGCGUGUAUGAAGAAGGCCUUCGGGUUGUAAAGUACUUUCGUCAGGGAAGCGGUACCUGAAGAAUAAGCACCGGCUAACUCCGUGCCAGCAGCCGCGGUAAUUC
rnacentral:rRNA from 1 species